ACGCUAGCUACAGGCUUAACACAUGCAAGUCGAGGGGCAGCAUGGUCUUAGCUUGCUAAGGCCGAUGGCGACCGGCGCACGGGUGAGUAACACGUAUCCAACCUGCCGUCUACUCUUGGACAGCCUUCUGAAAGGAAGAUUAAUACAAGAUGGCAUCAUGAGUCCGCAUGUUCACAUGAUUAAAGGUAUUCCGGUAGACGAUGGGGAUGCGUUCCAUUAGAUAGUAGGCGGGGUAACGGCCCACCUAGUCUUCGAUGGAUAGGGGUUCUGAGAGGAAGGUCCCCCACAUUGGAACUGAGACACGGUCCAAACUCCUACGGGAGGCAGCAGUGAGGAAUAUUGGUCAAUGGGCGCAGGCCUGAACCAGCCAAGUAGCGUGAAGGAUGACUGCCCUAUGGGUUGUAAACUUCUUUUAUAAAGGAAUAAAGUCGGGUAUGUAUGCCCGUUUGCAUGUACUUUAUGAAUAAGGAUCGGCUAACUCCGUGCCAGCAGCCGCGGUAAUACGGAGGAUCCGAGCGUUAUCCGGAUUUAUUGGGUUUAAAGGGAGCGUAGAUGGAUGUUUAAGUCAGUUGUGAAAGUUUGCGGCUCAACCGUAAAAUUGCAGUUGAUACUGGAUAUCUUGAGUGCAGUUGAGGCAGGCGGAAUUCGUGGUGUAGCGGUGAAAUGCUUAGAUAUCACGAAGAACUCCGAUUGCGAAGGCAGCCUGCUAAGCUGCAACUGACAUUGAGGCUCGAAAGUGUGGGUAUCAAACAGGAUUAGAUACCCUGGUAGUCCACACGGUAAACGAUGAAUACUCGCUGUUUGCGAUAUACAGCAAGCGGCCAAGCGAAAGCGUUAAGUAUUCCACCUGGGGAGUACGCCGGCAACGGUGAAACUCAAAGGAAUUGACGGGGGCCCGCACAAGCGGAGGAACAUGUGGUUUAAUUCGAUGAUACGCGAGGAACCUUACCCGGGCUUAAAUUGCAGAUGAAUUACGGUGAAAGCCGUAAGCCGCAAGGCAUCUGUGAAGGUGCUGCAUGGUUGUCGUCAGCUCGUGCCGUGAGGUGUCGGCUUAAGUGCCAUAACGAGCGCAACCCUUGUUGUCAGUUACUAACAGGUUCUGCUGAGGACUCUGACAAGACUGCCAUCGUAAGAUGUGAGGAAGGUGGGGAUGACGUCAAAUCAGCACGGCCCUUACGUCCGGGGCUACACACGUGUUACAAUGGGGGGUACAGAGGGCCGCUACCACGCGAGUGGAUGCCAAUCCCAAAAACCUCUCUCAGUUCGGACUGGAGUCUGCAACCCGACUCCACGAAGCUGGAUUCGCUAGUAAUCGCGCAUCAGCCACGGCGCGGUGAAUACGUUCCCGGGCCUUGUACACACCGCCCGUCAAGCCAUGGGAGCCGGGGGUACCUGAAGUGCGUAACCGCGAGGAGCGCCCUAGGGUAAAACUGG
rnacentral:rRNA from 1 species